UUCAAGGAGUGCUGGAAUGUGACAAUGACAGCCUAGGCAGGGUGGGCUCCGCUCACACCAUGUGAGUGCUGAGUGGCACCCACUGAGGAAGAAAAUCUGCUGCCAGCACGAGAGCCAAGCUGCCUGCAGCCUCAGCCAAGCAGCCCAGGGUUUCUCAGGUGAAGCUGGGCCAGGAGACUAACAAUCCUCAGACAGAGCUCAGGUUGCUGACUUAUUGAGCUCCGUGUCUGGAAUACAUAAGGCUAAAGAAACUCACCACUGUGUGAUUCCUUGGUAUAUCAGUUGCCUAGAGCUAUCAUAACAAGUACAACAGACUGGUUGACUUAAACAACAGAAAUGUAUUAUUUCACAGUUCUGAAGGCUGGAAGUCUGGGAUCAACGUGUCAGCAAGAUUGGCUUCUUUUCAGGCCCCUCUCCUUGGAUUGCAGAUGGCUCUCUUCUCAUGGUGUCUUCACAUGAUCUUCCCUCUGUAUUUGUCUGUGUCCUAAUCUUCUCUUCUUAAAAGGACACCAGUCAUAUUGGAUUAGGGCCUAUAUGGCAGAUGUACCUGACAGCAAUAACUUGGAGUGGCCAACCUGGAGAUUCAUUCCUUAUCUAUGAGGAGCAUUGGAACCCUUGACCCAUCCCAUGGAAUGCAGGCUUCAUCAUGGGUUGAAUGAAGGUUGCCAGAUGGAGGUUGCCAGGGGAGGGUGCUAAGUGAAAAUGCUAUGUAAACCACAUGCUUUUGACAGGUGGUUGCAGUUUUCCUGUGCAGCCCAUCACCACUGGGCCACCCUGUAUGUAAGUCCCCUCAAUAAACCCUAUGUCUCAUGCACUGGCU
rnacentral:lncRNA from 10 species